AUUGAACGCUGGCGGCAGGCCUAACACAUGCAAGUCGAGCGGAUGAAGGGAGCUUGCUCCCGGAUUCAGCGGCGGACGGGUGAGUAAUGCCUAGGAAUCUGCCUGGUAGUGGGGGAUAACGUCCGGAAACGGGCGCUAAUACCGCAUACGUCCUGAGGGAGAAAGUGGGGGAUCUUCGGACCUCACGCUAUCAAAUGAGCCUAGGUCGGAUUAGCUAGUUGGUGGGGUAAAGGCCUACCAAGGCGACGAUCCGUAACUGGUCUGAGAGGAUGAUCAGUCACACUGGAACUGAGACACGGUCCAGACUCCUACGGGAGGCAGCAGUGGGGAAUAUUGGACAAUGGGCGAAAGCCUGAUCCAGCCAUGCCGCGUGUGUGAAGAAGGUCUUCGGAUUGUAAAGCACUUUAAGUUGGGAGGAAGGGCAGUAAGUUAAUACCUUGCUGUUUUGACGUUACCAACAGAAUAAGCACCGGCUAACUUCGUG
rnacentral:rRNA from 1 species